UCCAAAGCCUCCCUACACAGAGCAUCAGCUA
rnacentral:piRNA from 1 species